UACGUAGGGUGCGAGCGUUAAUCGGAAUUACUGGGCGUAAAGGGUGCGCAGGCGGUUCUGCAAGGCAGGCGCGAAAUCCCCGGGCUUAACCUGGGAAUGGCGCUUGAAACUACGGGACUGGAGUAUGGCAGAGGGAGGUGGAAUUCCACGUGUAGCGGUGAAAUGCGUAGAGAUGUGGAGGAACACCGAUGGCGAAGGCAGCCUCCUGGGCCAAUACUGACGCUCAUGCACGAAAGCGUGGGAAGCAAACAGG
rnacentral:rRNA from 1 species